rnacentral:lncRNA from 1 species
UUGAAUUGGAAAGGAUACUUUGGAGGAGCGAACCAGUGAAUUCUCACUCGUUGCAUUUUACUUUUACUCAAACCACAACCAAAAAGGGAGGAAGGGGCAAACUCAAGACCACCAAAUCCGUCUCCAGAUCCUCCAAAGCCGGCCUUCAAUUCCCCGUCGGCCUCAUCGCUCGCUACCUCAGUUUGUGAUCUGAUGUUGGUGUUGUUGUUUUUGGGGGUUUAGGUUUUGGAGCUUGCUGGGAACGCUGCGAGGGACAACCAGAAGUCGAGGAUCAUUCCGAGGCACAUUCAGCUUCCGGUGAGGAAUGAUGAGGAGCUUAGCAAGCUGAUGGGAUCUGUAACGAUUGCGAGCGAAAGAUUGGAUCUGCUAGUCAAGUGUUCUAGUUAUGUAUGUAAGGUUGAUAGCUUCACUCUUGGUGAACAAAAUGAUGCUUAGUGUAGUUGUUGUUUUGGUUGGUCAAGUGAUGUAUUGAGAUUAGAGGGUGUAUAGCUCUUCAUUUUGUGAUAAAGUAAUUGAAUUUCAUGUUUUGGUCUAAACUAUCUUUCGUUUUCCACUGGAGCUUUUAUGUGCUUUUGCGUUUCUGCUUCUUGUGUCCUUGUUAUGAUUAUGUUAACGCGUGUUCUGUAUUUUUGUUCUUUCACUCUGGCACCAAUUCAGUUUCAUCAUUGAACCCUGCCAUGGGCAUGAUUCACUCUUUGAAGUAAAUAAAAGUAAUGUUUAACAUUCAGUGUUGACUGGGUCAUUUGAACAAGGGUUUUUCAUUAUAAUCUCUACUCAUUUUCCUCUUUUGAAAAAAUAAUUGUUACUUGUUAGUAAUAAACCAUCUUAAUGCUUUUGAUGUGUUUGUUUCUUUUUUUCCUCCAUCAACAAGAGAUAGAAGAUGAAAAUGAGCUGAGUUUAGUGUUCUUAUGAAGUUAUCGAAGCAAUAACAUUGUGGAAUUGCGUCGAAACAUAGCAUGUUGCAACCUGAUGGUGAUGCAAUAACCUCACUGCGUCACAAUUUGGAGCUGUCGAACUGGAGUCUUUUUAAGAUUCCUGGUGUGCUCAAAGGAAUGCUCAAAGGUUGGUCCAUUUGUUGGUUGCUUUGCUUUGGUUCAUUAUUUUUCUUUUCUAGCUGUCCAAAACUAUUGUGGAAUUGCUUCUAACAAAUAGAGCUAUGCACAAUACUCUAUGCUGGUAGAAUAUAUUUCGAGGGAAUGAAAUGUGCUCAAGCCUGCAGCAGAGGAAUUGAUUUCUAGUUAUAAUUUAAUUAUAAUAAACCAGUUUUAUGAUGCUGUUUUGUCAAAGUGCAAUUGCCUAAUCUUGUUUUGCUUUAAUGUGGCCUCUUUUUUUUGUUGAGGCAUAUUCAGCUUGCGGUGAGGUACGAUGAGGACUUGUUGCCUAAGAAGGUUGCUGGGAAAGGGAAGGGGGAGAUUGGAUCUGCUAGUCAAGAGUCCUGGUUAUGUAUUUAGGGUUUGUAGUUUCACUCCUCGUGAAAAAAUGGUUGAUUGGUGUAGUUGUUGUUUUGGUUGGUCAAGUGAUGUAUUGAGAUUAGAGGGUGUAUAGCUCUUCAUUUUGUGAUAAAGCAAAUCAAAUUUCAUGGUUUGGCCUAUACUAGCUUUUGUUUUCCACUGGAAUUUUUGUGUGUUUUUGGGUUUUUUCUUCAUUGCCUAUUGUUAUGGUUGUGCGGAACGCUUGUUGUUUGUUUGCCGUCUCGUACUGUGAGAUAAUUUUUGAUUUUGGUGCUGGUAUUGCUGAUACUUGUAAUGCACCGAAUCUACUGAAAUGGAAAUUUCAUCACAAGUUGGUUAUAUAAUCUUUGUUUUGUUUCUUUGCCUUCGUGAAUGGACAAGUAUUAACCUAGCAAUCAUGCUACUGGGAUAUGGAUUACAUAUUAAAAAGGUAACAUAUAAGCCCAUAUUUUGUUGUUGAUCUAAGUUAUGAUUAUGAAAUUAAAUUUGCUUAAGUUACCAUGUUUAUAAUUACUUUGUUUUGUUUAGUGCUUACAGAGGAUGCUUUUCUGAGCGAUGGAAUGUAUUUACAAACAUGCCUUUGAUAAUUGGAUCAUGUGGAAACAUUACCAUCAUUAAUUAAAUUUUGGUACAAGGUAUGUUGCCUUAAACUAUAAGCUGGCUGUUUGAUAUUCCUAAUCUAUUGUUUUACUACAAUAUAUUUUAGGCAGUGGCUACGGUACAAUGGCAUUCAAGUCUUGUAUGAGCGCAUAACCAUCUUUUGACCCUUGGAUUUAAUAUUAUUAUAUUGAACGGUUGAGAAUGAUUACCGUUACCUGAUAAUACAUGUUACAACCUUUUUUGCUAUUUGAUCCUUGUUGUACCCCGGACUUCACCACAUCUUAUCAAAACCCUGAAACCCUCGCUGAAACAAAAACAGAACAAUGGAAACGAGUACGACCUUGGAUGUCGAGGAACCACCUUCACUCGGCCACAACAAUGUUGAACGCUUUGGACUUAAAAUUUUAUGCUUUUUGUGGGUUUGGCCUGUGAAUGGAGGGGGUGAUUGGAGUGCAAUGGUCGUGUCACUAUCAACAAGCGUGGUGAAACCUGCUGCCGGUCAAUAUUAUGGAGAGUUCAAGGGUUACUCUUCAACCAUAAACUAGAUUAGUUUCCGGAUCCUUCCAAUCUCCAUCUUCUAAGUUCUAAUUAAGUUCGUGUUCUUCAUGUAUUACAGAACAUUUCCGUAGGUAGAUGGCUUGUUUCCACCAAUUUUUUUGGAAAGAUUCAAAUUAUAGAACACAAAAUAUAACCUGUAGUCCAGUUUGGCUGUCUACAUACUUGUUGAACCCAAAUAAUGAAUGUUAGGCAAUAAUCCAGAAACGAAAACAAGAUAAUUAAUGCAGUAUUGGAAGCAUGUGCGGUUCAAAGUAGGAGGCUAUGUCCCCCUUUCAAUAUUUGAAAGGUAAAAUUGAAUGUGGCCCUAUUUGAGAGGAAAAUCUUUUGCUUUGGUGUUGUAAUCAAACAGUAGAACUGGAAUUUCAUGGCCGCAAAGUUGUGAGGAUUCACUAACAUCCAUAGAGGUGAGAAUAACAUAGAAGAAAAGACCAAAAUGUUUGCUAGUCAAUUGGAAUUGAAGAAUACACAUGGAAAAUGAUAUGUAAGAAUGAGCUAAUGCACAAAAAGAGAGAUUGGAGGUGGACAAAUUUUAAUCUAUGGAGAAUAAUGAUAGGGAUGAUGAUGCCCAUGUUCGAAUAAGAGGAUGAAUGUUGAGCAGAGAUGAUACAGAACAUAAUUAAGUUGAAUUGUCCUUAUUUGCAAUUUUGUGAAUUUCACUCAUAUGUUUUAUGGGCCAAAAGUGAAAAACCACUUUUACCUGGAAAUUGGAAAUAGCAGGUCAUUUUGCUUAUGUAACCAUACAUCACUUGGACCGGUUAUGCACCGUAGCCUUUGCCUAUAUUUUAUUGCACUUGAAUGAGCUGAACUAAUUGUCAUGAAAAAAGGCAUUUGCAUUUUUUAUUUUGUUUUUCUCUGCUUCAACUUUCUUCUAUACGGAGUAUGCAAUUUAUUGUCGCUGCUUUUUACAUGCUCAUAUUUUUCAAAUUUAUUUCUGUUUCAGAAACAUUUCUGAUAAGAAUUUGUUAGUUAUGUGAUCAUACCAGACUUGCUUGGAAUUUAAUUGUUUUUGAUAAUGGUUUGCAAUCCGUGGUAAAAACUGAUGGUAAUUUGGAGUUUCUUUAAUCUUUGGCUGUGACUAAACUCUGAAAUUUUGUUCUUUAUUGGUUCUGUACUUUUUCCUUUUCGAAAUUGAUCAGAUUUUAAUUGCCUUUGUUUUCUGUAAUGGUUUGCAAUCAAUGGUUAAGCCGGUAACAUCUUGAACUUGGAUUUUAAUUGCCUUUGAUGUACUGGUUAGUGAUAAGUGGUAAAGACUUGAAGAGGUAGUAUCUUGAACUUGCUUGGAUUUUAAUAGCUUUUAUAUAAUGCUUAACGACUAGUGAUAAUUGAUAAAGACUGAUAAGUAAGAAUUUACUAUAGACUUGAUUUGGUUUUAUGUUGAACUUGGCUUGAUUUGUUAUUGAACUCGAAUCCUUUUUCUGGGUUUUCAAGUUCCUCGUGUACUUCUGUCAUUUUUUAUUAGAUGGAUCGUGUUAUAUAUGUGUCGGUUCUUGGUUUUCAGCUUCUGUGACUAAUGUUGUUUUCCUUGGUCUUCUUCUUAUAAACUGGAAUUUCUUUAAAUUUUCAAUACUGAAUUCUACUUACUGGUUGCCUUUGAUUUCUCAAGGCUAUUGCUUUUGAAUUGUUCUUGUUUCUUUUAUACUUUUUCCAAACAUUGAUUAGGCAAAUGUUGUAAUGGUUGAAUUUGAUUGUGGCUUUGGUAAGCUCUUCAAGUUAAUUAUAAGACGCUGUAGCAAACUUUGUUAGUACGUACUGUUGAUCACAUCCUGUUUCUCUGUAUGAGGGGCACUUCUAAUGUUUUUCUACAGCAUUUCUUAUGGGAUAAUUUUCGAUGUUUUAGCAUUGUUUUUUUGCAUUAAGAAUUGACCUUAUUCAAGGGAUAUUCUGUUUUCAUCUCCUAGAAUUUUGAAUGGGACUACCUACUGUUAAGUUUGGUCGCAGUCAUGAAGUGUAAUUAUCCAGACGGAAUAGUUUUCUGAUUUUAACUUGUCCUCACCUAGCUUGAUUUACAAAAUUUAGAUUGAUUUCAUAAAUACUUUUUUUCCUAAAAUAUGGGAAAUUUCAAAAUUCUGGAAAUUAUAAAUGCACGCUUUUCAGAUGUUUCUCUGAGUUCUCAAAUGAUUAUAGUGUGGAAUUGGAGAGGAUACUUCGGGCAAGCAACCCAGAAACCAUGACAUGUUUACUUCCCCAUGAGGCCAUGACCUACUUGCAAAUGCAUGCCUCGCAAAGUAGUUAAAGGCUAAGUACUAAACUAGGAAUCUAGUUCUUCUCACGUGAACACUUUCUCUUCUUUUCUCAUAUUAAAGUCUUGCAUCUAUCUUCUCUUGUCAUAUGUUUUAAUUAUGUGAGACCCUUUACAUAUUUUUAAAGAGAUAAUCACAAUGUUGCAUUUAAUAUUGUCAUGUCACAUGAGAGUAUAUAAAUCUAGUAAAGGAGUGCUUGUGAAUGUGUUACUUCACCAUAGCUGUUAUAUUAGCAAACCUAACCCCAGUAGUGUAAGUGUAGUUGUUAAAAAUAUAAUAUAAAACUAUUUAUGAGUGCCUAUUCCAAAUUUCCAAAUUGGUUCAUGACAUGGAUUAGAGGCUCUUUUACUAAAUGGUUCAUAGUUCAAUCCUUAUUGUCUCUAUUAUUGUAAUAAGAGAAAAACUAAAUUUCAACUAAUGAUAGGUGGACCUGUGUAUAGUCCACACUUUUUCUUUAAAAUAGUCCACACUUAAGGCCAAAUGAACUAUUGCAUGAGGUCGUGGUUGAAACAUAAUAUUAAACUCAAUGAGCUUAGUAAAAAAAUAUUUAAUUCAUAUAAAAUAUAAAUAUUGUGCGUGCUAGCUGUAAGCUACUUUGUUUUAAGAAAGCAUAUAGUAAUAAUAACUCAAUGAGCAUCCAGCAUUAUUUCAUAUAAAAACCCCAUAGUUUUUUAAGAACAGCACCAUGUGACGCUUGUCAUCCCAAGUCCCAGUUUGAUUUGUUUAAGAAAACAUGUAAUAAUCUGUGUGAACGUCAUAAAGUGAUUUCAGCAUAAGUUAUUUGUUAAUUAUAUACCUGCGACCCUGUUUCUGGGAGUCAGUUGCAGAGGUUGUCUUGCAAUUGUUUGUGUUAAUUCAUCAGUGCUCAAUGGCUAAAGAAGGAGUUGUUCUUCCAUAUUCAACAGGUAGAUGGGCAUACGACGUGUUCCUGAAUUUCAGAGGAGCGGAUACUCGUGAUGGAUUUACAAGCGUUCUCUACAAAUCUCUGAAAGAAAGAGGAAUCCGAACCUUCUUCGAUGACGAUGAGCUUUCAAGAGGGAAAGAGAUCAAGUCCUCCCUCCUCAGAGCCAUCGAAGAAUCCAUGAUUGGCAUAGUGAUAUUUUCACCAAACUACGCUUUCUCAGCUUAUUGCUUGGAUGAACUUGUCCACAUCUUAGAUUGCUGCAAGGGUCACGAUCGGUUGGUUUUGCCAGUGUUCGUGGAUGUGGAUCCUUCACAUGUAAGGUAUCAGGUAGGGACUUAUGGUGAUGCCAUGGCCAAGCAUGAAGACCACCACCGCGUUGACCAACCCAAACUGCAAAAAUGGAGACAGGCUUUAGCUGAUGCAGCUGAUUUGUCUGGCUGGCAUAUCCAACAAGGGUAUGUAUAUAUUUUUUAUUUCAAUGAUACAUUUUUGUGGGUUGAGAGUUUUGAUUCAUUUAUUUACACUUCACUGUUUUUCAUUCAAUUUUCAAUUAUUGUUUCUCUAUUUAGCUCCUUUUUUAUCAAUUCACUUCUUUUUUUUUAUAUCUAUUUGUGGGUAUGGGUGGAAAUUAAAUGAGGUUUCAACCAAACUUUUUCCUCUGUUUUGUAAACUACCAUUUCAGAAAUUUUGUAUCAUUCUAUUUUCUUUCACAUGACAUAGUCGUAUGUAUGUCAUGUGAGAUUAACACAUGAGGGAAUCCACCUCCAUUCCCCCGUCGGCCGCGUCGCUCGCUACCCCAAGGCCGGCCGCUACUCCCAGCGCGUCG